CCUACGGGAGGCAGCAGUGGGGAAUAUUGCACAAUGGGGGAAACCCUGAUGCAGCGACGCCGCGUGAAGGAAGAAGUAUUUCGGUAUGUACACUUCUAUCAGCAGGGAAGAAAAUGACGGUACCUGACUAAGAAGCCCCGGCUAACUACGUGCCAGCAGCCGCGGUAAUACGUAGGGGGCAAGCGUUAUCCGGAUUUACUGGGUGUAAAGGGAGCGUAGGCGGCGAUGCAAGUCAGAAGUGAAAGCCCGGGGCUCAACUCCGGGACUGCUUUUGAAACUGUGUUGCUAGAGUGCAGGAGAGGUAGGUGGAAUUCGUAGUGUAGCGGUGAAAUGCGUAGAUAUUAGGAGGAACACCAGUGGCGAAGGCAGCUUACUGGACUGUAAAUGACGCUGAGGCUCGAAAGCGUGGGGAGCAAACAGGAUUAGAUACCCUUGUAGUC
rnacentral:rRNA from 1 species